GCUCAGCAUGGAAAUUGGGGCCCUCGGCCUUGAAUUGUAGUCUCGAGAUGUAUCGCCAACGGAGGCGCAGAUGUAAGCCUCUUGGAAAGGAGCAUCAACGAGGGUGAGAGUCCCGUUUGUCAUCUGCAGUCCCCCGUGCACGGCAUACCUUCUAAGAGUCGCGUUCCUCGGAAUUGGAGCGUAAAUUGGGUGGUAAAUUUCAUCUCAAGCUAAAUAUUGGUUCGAGACCGAUAGCAAACAAGUACCAUGAGGGAAAGAUGAAAAGGACUUUGAAAAGAGAGUUAAAAGUGCCUGAAAUUGCUGAAAGGGAAGCGAAUGGAACCAGUGUUGCUUGGCAAGAUUGUCGGGUGCAUGACGCGCUUGAUCGUCUCUUGCCUUGUGUGUCAACGCCAGUUCGCGAUCGAGGAAAACUCCAGGGUCAUGGUAGCUCGUCUACGGGUGAGUGAAUAGCCUUGGCAGAACUCAUUUGC
rnacentral:rRNA from 1 species